rnacentral:rRNA from 1 species
UAGGGAAUAUUGGGCAAUGGACGGAAGUCUGACCCAGCCAUGCCGCGUGCAGGAUGAAGGCGUUAUGCGUUGUAAACUGCUUUUUUAUAGGAAGAAGGAGACCUUGCGAGGUUUGGUGACGGUACUAUAAGAAUAAGCACCGGCUAACUCCGUGCCAGCAGCCGCGGUAAUACGGAGGGUGCGAGCGUUGUCCGGAUUUAUUGGGUUUAAAGGGUGCGUAGGCGGUUUAUUAAGUCAGUGGUGAAAGACGGUCGCUCAACGAUUGCAGUGCCAUUGAUACUGGUAGACUUGAGUUCGUAUGAGGUAGCUGGAAUGGAUAGUGUAGCGGUGAAAUGCAUAGAUAUUAUCCAGAACUCCAAUUGCGUAGGCAGGUUACUAAUUCGAUACUGACGCUGAUGCACGAAAGUGUGGGGAUCAAACAGG